rnacentral:rRNA from 1 species
CAGUAGCCACGGUAAUACAGAGGGUGCGAGCGUUAAUCGGAUUUACUGGGCGUAAAGCGUGCGUAGGCGGCUUUUUAAGUCGGAUGUGAAAUCCCUGAGCUUAACUUAGGAAUUGCAUUCGAUACUGGGAAGCUAGAGUAUGGGAGAGGAUGGUAGAAUUCCAGGUGUAGCGGUGAAAUGCGUAGAGAUCUGGAGGAAUACCGAUGGCGAAGGCAGCCAUCUGGCCUAAUACUGACGCUGAGGUACGAAAGCAUGGGGAGCAAACAGGAUUAGAUACCCGUGUAGUCCCUGUCUCUUAUAA